CCUACGGGAGGCAGCAGUGAGGAAUAUUGGUCAAUGGGAGAGAUCCUGAACCAGCCAAGCCGCGUGAGGGAAGACGGCCCUAUGGGUUGUAAACUUCUUUUGUCGGAGAUCAAAACCCGGGACGUGUCCCGGACUGCGUGUAUCCGAAGAAAAAGCAUCGGCUAACUCCGUGCCAGCAGCCGCGGUAAUACGGAGGAUGCGAGCGUUAUCCGGAUUUAUUGGGUUUAAAGGGUGCGUAGGCGGUCCGUUAAGUCAGCGGUAAAAUUGCGGGGCUCAACCCCGUCGGGCCGUUGAAACUGGCAGACUUGAGUUGGCGAGAAGUACGCGGAAUGCGCGGUGUAGCGGUGAAAUGCAUAGAGAUCGCGCAGAACUCCGAUUGCGAAGGCAGCGUACCGGCGCCAGACUGACGUUGAGGCACGAAAGCGUGGGGAGCGAACAGGAUUAGAUACCCCAGUAGUC
rnacentral:rRNA from 1 species